rnacentral:rRNA from 1 species
GACGUAGGGCGCGAGCGUUGUCCGGAUUUAUUGGGCGUAAAGAGCUCGUAGGCGGCUUGUCGCGUCGGCUGUGAAAUCCCGUGGCUCAACUGCGGGUCUGCAGCCGAUACGGGCAGGCUAGAGUUCGGUAGGGGAGACUGGAAUUCCUGGUGUAGCGGUGAAAUGCGCAGAUAUCAGGAGGAACACCGGUGGCGAAGGCGGGUCUCUGGGCCGAUACUGACGCUGAGGAGCGAAGGCGUGGGGAGCGAACGGG